rnacentral:miRNA from 3 species
GCUCAAGAAAGCUGUGGGAAA